rnacentral:lncRNA from 1 species
CUGAAUGACAUAAAACUGGAAAGGUGAUUGAUGUUUCUUUUGACAAAAUCGUAGCCUGUUUUUAAAAGACCAGAGCAAGGAAUUGGAUACAAAAGUAAAUGAGGUAAGUGUAAACUUCCUCAUUUCAGCUCAAACAUUCAGUUGGGGUGUUUGAAGGAGUCUCUCUGCCUGUUUGGGACGUGGCCUUCGAUGACCCCCGGGACCAUGUUCAGCCUUCAGUAUCUGAUCUUCAGUUUAGGGAGGGGCAGGGCUGUCUUGAGAAAGAUUCAUAAAAUAACAAUCCAAAGGUCUUCGUGUUUCACAACUGAGUGGGAACCAACAAUGUGAGGUGACUACUAAAAGAGAGGUGACAAGAACAAAGGUAGAGUGCCUGGCUGAGGUUCUUGCCGUUGUUUUGGGUUGCUAAGACUACAUUGGAGCUUGUGCCAGACCCAGACACAACCCAGGGAGGGCCAUCCAAGUGGACAGGACAGGGAAGGCAGAGCUAAGGUGCCCUGAUCAGCUAAGAAAGUGCUGGCAGGGCCAGUUCAGGUUCAUGGCCAAGGUGCCCCAUCUCCAAGGCACAUCCCUGGGGCAGAGGACACAGAAGGUCUGUAGCACCUUUAUGCUGUCACUCAACUAGACACUCAUCAUGGUCUCACUGAGCAGGACAUUUUAUCCCUUCAAGGGCCAUCAGCCCCAGGGCUACACUUACAGCCUGCUCCAGUGGCCUCCAUCUCUCAAAAGUUGAAGACAGAAGUGGCCACAGGUGAUCCUCUGACCCUGCAGUCCACACUUUAGGGAGCAGGCUCUAAGACUCUGGCAGUGGGCUGGGGUUGUGGCUCAGCGGUAGAGCACUUUCCUUGCAUGUGUGAGGCACUGGGUUUAAUCCUCAGCACCACAUAAAAAUAAAUAAAAUAAAAUAAAGGUAUUGGGUCCACCUACAACUAAAAUAAUAUUUAAGAAAAAAAAAG